rnacentral:rRNA from 1 species
UAGGGAAUCUUCCACAAUGGGCGCAAGCCUGAUGGAGCGACACCGCGUGAGUGAAGAAGGGUUUCGGCUCGUAAAGCUCUGUUGUUGAAGAAGAACGUGCGUGAGAGUAACUGUUCAUGCAGUGACGGUAUUCAACCAGAAAGUCACGGCUAACUACGUGCCAGCAGCCGCGGUAAUACGUAGGUGGCAAGCGUUAUCCGGAUGUAUUGGGCGUAAAGCGAGCGCAGGCGGUUUUCUAAGUCUGAUGUGAAAGCCUUCGGCUUAACCGAAGAAGGGCAUCGGAAACUGGAUGACUUGAGUGCAGAAGAGGGCAGUGGAACUCCAUGUGUAGCGGUGGAAUGCGUAGAUAUAUGGAAGAACACCAGUGGCGAAGGCGGCUGCCUAGUCUGCAACUGACGCUGAGGCUCGAAAGCAUGGGUAGCGAACAGG